AGACUUAUCAUCAUCGCCAUAUUAAAUAUUAAUCAUAUUUGAGAUAUUUUAGUAAGAGUUUAAACACGAUUGUUGCAUUUAGAGUUUUAACAGUCAUAAUGUGGUCAUUUUGUGAGUCAAGUUUAGCGUGAAGUAUGUUGGUGUUCUAAAUUGUAUUGCUGUUCCCAUGUAGGGUAAGAGUUUUAUCUUGUAAAUGUGGUGUAUUUUUACAAAUUAUCAAUGUUGUUUGUUGUGCAUGACAAUGUAUGGAGAAACAUGUCGGAAGAUAACUCUCUUUCUCCGCUGUGUUGCUGCAAUAUUCACACCAAGUGAAUUCUUCUGUCAAUGAAGAUGUGACUAUUUCUAUCUGUGCUUGAAUAUGUCACUUUAUUGCAAGGUGCUUUAAUUAUCCUGAGUAGGUGCAAUUUUGUGUAUAUGCCAGUAUUUUGCCAGCUGUAUAAAUGUUUUUUCUGUAUUGCAUAUGAUUAUUUUGGGUCAUAAUUGGUUGUGAGUUGGUUAUCUUUUUUUUCUUUUUUUAAAAAAUCUUUUUUUUUUUGCUUUAAUGUUUAAAUCUGUUUUAUUUGGAUAAUUUACACAUGAUUUACUAUAUCUUGUUUUUAUUUUCUAGGAUAAUACUUGGUGUUGAUUUUCCUGAUUUUUUAUAGACAGGGUGCUGUAAGAUUUGAAAAAGGUUGUCAGUAUUUCAGAUUCAAGUCAUUAUUUCUUUUUUUUUCCGUCACAAGUUUGUGCAAUAGUUUCAAUCAUGUCUCUUUAUUUUACUGUUCACGUUUUAAGUUGUAAAAGCUUUACUGCUUCGGUAGUUUUAAUACCAGAUCAGAGCGUUGUGAAUUAUUGUAUAUCACCAUCUUUCAUAUUUUUAGAUAAAACAUAAAAGG
rnacentral:sRNA from 1 species